AUAUUGCACAAUGGGGGAAACCCUGAUGCAGCAACGCCGCGUGAGUGAUGAAGGCCUUCGGGUUGUAAAGCUCUGUCUUCUGGGACGAUAAUGACGGUACCAGAGGAGGAAGCCACGGCUAACUACGUGCCAGCAGCCGCGGUCAUACGUAGGUGGCAAGCGUUGUCCGGAUUUACUGGGCGUAAAGGAUGCGUAGGCGGAUACUUAAGUCAGAUGUGAAAAUCCCGGGCUUAACUUGGGAACUGCAUUUGAAACUGGGUAUCUAGAGUGCGGGAGAUNAAAGUGGAAUUCCUAGUGUGUCGGUGAAAUGCGUAGAGAUUAGGAAGAACACCAGUGGCGAAGGCGACUUUCUGGACCGUAACUGACGCUG
rnacentral:rRNA from 1 species